GAUUGGGUCCAGAGAACCUGCAUGCAUAGUAUCUGUAUUAUACCGAACGAUCUAAAACCUAUCCUUUUAUAAACAUCUUUUUCAGUAAUAUUAUUAUUUAUCAACGUUGCUUCUGUUAUGGGGUUGCUGUAUAUCAAUGAAUUUAAUAUUUCUUCAAUAUAAUCUGUUGUGUUCUCAUAGUGAUUCUAUCCCUCUUUGCUUAUAGGCUAUCAGCCGAAUGGGCAAGCUCCAAUCUCUUCUACUGACAAGCCCCUAACCCCCCAGAUACGAGCUAAUGGCAUUGAUGUUGCGCAAUUCACACCUCCAAGACGAUUAAGGACAGAUGAAAUUCCUCAAAUUGUCAAUGAUUUUAGACUUGCUGCAAGGAAUGCAAUGGAAGCUGGUAAUAUUUGUUCAAGUUAAAUAUGAAAUAAAUUUACAUGGUCCAUUUACAGAAACGUAUUAUAUCAAAGUGGGGUGCCAAUAGUAUCUUGUUUGAGGAUGAAAAAAAUGUAGUGGAAAAUAUCAAUUUCUUACUUUUACUAUGUUAUAUGAUAAAUAAAUUAUCAUGGUCUCUUUGUAUAUGUUUUUGGUGAUGACAAGUUUCACAAGUUUUCAAUACACUAAUGUUAUUUUUUUAUGAUUUUCAGGCUUUGAUGGGGUUGAAAUCCAUGGCGCCCAUGGCUACCUAAUCGAUCAAUUUUUAAAAGAUGAAGUAAAUGAUCGAACAGACCAAUAUGGUGGGUCUCUAGAAAACCGUUGCCGAUUUGCACUAGACAUUGUUGAAGCUAUUGUCAACGAGAUAGGAGCAGAUAAAGUUGGAAUUAGAUUAUCUCCAUUUGCCAACUAUAUGGAAUCCGGAGAUUCUAAUCCAAAGGAAUUGGGACUCUAUCUAGCCAAUGCCUUGAACAAAUAUGGAAUCCUGUACUGCCACAUGGUUGAGCCAAGAAUGAAGACAGUUGGAGAAAAGUUUGAAUGUCCCCACAGUCUUGUACCCAUGAGAAAGGCUUUUAAUGGUACCUUCAUUGCUGCUGGUGGUUUUGACAGGGACGAUGGGAACAAUGCUGUUGCUGAAGGCCGUGCAGAUCUUAUAGCUUUCGGUCGUUGGUUCUUAGCUAAUCCGGACUUGCCAAAGAGAUUUGAGCUCAAUGCUCCUUUAAACAAGUACAACAGAGAUACUUUCUACAUAUCUGAUCCGGUUCUUGGUUACACUGAUUAUCCAUUUCUCGACAGCAAUGCUCGAGUAUCCAGCUGAGUAUGGAAGCUUGAACCCUUAUACUUUAUUCCUGCAUUGGUCUGCUUUAAAGUUUUUGUGUUACUUUUCUUUCCCAGCAUCUACACCUAAAAAAAUAUAAGUAGCAAAUACAAAGUUGCCGAGGCUGGUUAACCAGACUGUAGAGUUCUCAAUUCUUGUAGUGUGGCUGGUUGAUAUUGCAAGUCGUUGUACUCUGCAAGUGCGGGGUCAAGUGUCUUAUUGUAGAUUGUUGCUACGUGAAGAUGCAAACUGAAUGUAGCCCCUUGUACAAGAUGAAUUCAAUAAAAAUGGCCUGUCGUUUGACAUGUACCAACUGCUGGAUCUCCUGUUAAACAAAAUGAGAUGGUGAAGAUGAAUUUCUGUAUAUUGCAAUAGCAUAUCAACAGUACAAGGCUAACUAAUAUAUACAAGAUAGAGCUAAAAUCUCUCUAGCCUUAAUGUUAAUUGUGUUUAGAUCCACAAAUCAAUCCUAUCACAUAUUUGGAUGCCAACUACAGAUAAAUGCAUAUCAGCAACAUGAAUGCAGAUUUUCCUUUAAUACCUAUACCUGUUUUUGUGUAUCUUAAUGAUGAGAAUCAUUGAGAGAUACCUGACUAACCUGAGGAAACAAUGACUUAUGAACUUUGCUGUUGACUGUGACAUUGCCUUGCAAGUGAAAAUACAUUACAAGUUGCAUGAUCACGAUUCAUCAUCAUCUUAUUAGAUCAAACCGCUGUAUGAAGAUCAAGUUUUAUCUUUCCUGGUGAUUGGUGAGCUUGUAGAGUUGUAGCCAAGCUUUUACUUUGAUAGAAUUAUGGAUUGUGAAUUUGGGCAGGUCUAGAGUGUGUAGAUGGUGAAGAAGGCAUGGAAUUAUCUCUUCCAGAUUCCAGACACACAUGUACAAGUUCUAAUUAUUUCACAGGUAGAUUUUCCUCUUCAAUCUCUACUCCUUGGUUGAACUGUAGUUUCCCCUGAAACUGUAAGAGCUUGGGACAUUUCAUUUUCUGAGGAACUGCCAUCUUCUCUGCUUGUUGGCAAUUCCUGGAUUGUUUUAGGCAAUUAGGAACGUUAGGUGGGGAUUAUACUGGAUAAGUAGGCAAUUUUUGGUUACUGUUGCCUACUGAAGGUAUAAAGACAGACCUGGGUAUUUUAUUCAUAUUUUCUUAGACAAAACGAAAAAAUAAACCAACCAAAUAAAUCAGUGAACUGUUACAUGUCUGCUCUCAAGCUUCCACUACUCCUCAUUUUAUUCCAUACAAAUUGGGAAAGUUCAAUCUUUUUCAUAGGCAGUUAGUGUUCUGUGCGUUUCACAUUGUAUUGGGUCAUUCUGUUGGUACGUGCAGGAAUCACCCAUACGACUAAUGGCCUUGUCAUGCUGCAAAUGAGGUUUCUCUAUUUAGAAGCAAGUCAUUCCGGAAAGUCCCACUUGGCUAAAAAGCACAAAUGGGUUUAGUGUUCUGUAAGUUUUAGUUUACUGGCUUGUUUAUUUUGUUGUGUUUGUCAAAUGUAGUCUAUCAUUCACUACACAUUUAUUCAAAAGGCAACUGAAAAGUCGUCGAGUAUUAUUCGACAGGAUAUAUAUGAUGCAACUUCACUUCUACCCCUCUAUGUAUAUAGAUACCUCAUUUGCAAAAAGCAUUUUAUAGUUGCAUGAAGAAGAGUGCAUAUCCAACUGUGUGAUUGUUCUUACUGAUCUUGUUGUUGUUGUCAUGGGAUCAGAGUGUUUUGUUGAUUAAUUGAUAAUUUGGUGAUAUGAUUAUGAGAGGCCGACGAUCCCGGCAAGGAUGGCGGAGAAGCGGAGGAGGAAGAGGCCGUAAUGGGUGUUGCCAUUAGGUUUAGGGGAGGUGGGUAAGGAGACGAAGGUGGUCGUAAUGACGGAGAUAUCGGAGAUUGGGGCGGCCGAGUUUGGGUUGGAGAAAGGGAAAGAGAAGAGACCGGGUUUGGAGUUGGGCCGGGUUUGGAUUUUGGGUUGGUUUUGUGUUUGAGGUUUGAGGUUUGAGGUUUAGAGUUCGGGGUCUUGGGGUUUACGGUUGGAAAUGAAAACGAAAAUGAAAUUUCUAUAUACUAGAUCAUUUUUAGAGAAGAUAUAGAUUAUUAUUUUUUGAACAGGGACUAAACGGCCGUCUUCAUGCCUUAACCAUUAACGAAACCAUUGAAUACAAGGGGGGAUAUAAAGUCUAAAUCCCAAAUUACCUAAACAUCCCGAAAUAAUAACAGGAGUUUUCAAUUCUAUGCAUUCUAACAAACACUAUUUAUUAAGGAGUGCAUCAUUCGCUACUCUAUUUGUUUUACAGUUUUGGCGAUAUGCCGAAAAGACAAUGCUCAUGAGGACCCAUAAGUUGCCACUGGAAAAUAUUAUCAGUGACACUGAGUUUCAUCUCGUCAUUAAGAGGCUGCGACCAUUUUGAUGAAGCAAGAAACUCUAUCACAAAAUUCUUUUUCAUUUUUUAGAGAAUGAACGAAAUUUUAUCUUUCCGAUGGAGUGAAUUUUUUUUUUUUAUUUCAAUGGGCUUUAUUUAUCAAAAGAAAAAAAGCAUACCAAUAAUAAAAGAAAUAAAUAAACUAAAUUAAAUUGUUAUAAUAAAGCGGUGUGUAGAUAAAUGGCUAAGAUCACUCUAUUACAAAAUUCUUUUUCACUCGGUAAUUUUUGUGAUUUGAAACUUACAAAUUUUAAUCAACAACUCUGGGAUUUGAAAAAUACUGUGAAAUUUUAAAUAUACUUCAAAUUUUUACAUGGAUUCUUUUCCAUGCUUACAUUGGAAGUUGGAAUUUUUAUUUUCAUAUAUUUAUGACGGUAUAACUUGUUUAGUAUGUUAUAUGCAAAUGUAUAUAAUUGUGAACCAACUAUACAGAGAAAGCAAAUUUUUCGAAACUCUUGAGAAAUAAGAUGUGUUCGAAAUAGUGAAAUACAAUUAGGGUUGAAAAAUCAAAAGUUUCCGUUUUUAAACCCUGAUAAAAACAGUCAACUCCUAAGGGGAGCCUAACCACUGGAGGGACAAUUCAACAAAAAAAAAUAAAAAUUCAUGGGAUCAUAAAUCUCAUAUAUACGAGCUUUUUUUUCGAAAGGGAAAUUUUAUUUACACAUUCUAUUUUUCUUAAUACACACCUCUUUCUCUUUUUUUGCCACAUUUUCCCUAUUUUUUCCUCUUUUACCCUUCUCUCACAUAGUCUGCAACUUCGUCUUUAUGAUCUAUGCUCUGCAGCAUCAGAAACACAACAACUCCAUCUCUUAGUGUUGAACCCCAUCUCUUUCCUUAUGGAACUCUACAAUCUCGUUAUCUUGGGAUAAUUAUGGUUGACGAAUUCAAUUUGACAAACCUCAUAUACAUAAUCCGAUUAAUCCCCAAUAAGUUGCUGUUCUAAACCUAAAUGUGUAUAUAUAAACAUCAUAUCUCCAUAUCUUUGUAAAUUAGUUUCAGCAUGCUUUGCUAAUCCUAUAUUCACUUGCAAGCUUAUGAGCUUUAGAAAGAUGAUUCAUUUGUUUAAGCAAUGGUUUUUUUUUUUCCUUAUCAUUCAGUAUGGCACUACGCUCAUAUAUGGCCAUAUAAAAAUACAUAAUACUCUUGGUAUGAUAAACAUUAUCAUCACAAAUGAGUACUAGUAAGAUGGAAUGAUUACUUGCCGGCAGCCCUCCAAUCUAAAGUCAUUAGAUUGUAUGGAGUUAGAUAUAUGCUGUUAGUUUUUCAUUGAAAGAAGAGGGUAAAACGGUGAUUUAUGAAUUUAUAAAAAUAGGGGUUUGUAUGUAAGAAUUAGUGAUGUGUUAAUAAAAUUUCUCUUUUCGAAAACAGAAAAGAAAAAAAAGAAAAUAAGGUCUCGCAUAUUUAAGGUCGACCGAUUGGAUGAGAGGCGUAACAAAUCGCGCAUGCAUGGAACUUGGAGAGAGAUCGAAGACGAGGAGACUCAGCGGUCUUCUGCGUUUUCCGGCUACGUUUCGGUCUACUCAAAGCGGAGGAGGAAACCCAGAUAUCAAAAGGCAAAACCCAUGUUGAUGGUGUUGGGAGAAACCCAAAAAUCAUGCAGACCCUUUCUCACCCUAAUUGGCCUACUAACAGUUACAGAAACUUAAACCCCACCAAUCUUCUCUUCUUCUCCUUCCUCGAACUUGUACAGCCAACACCACCACCACAUAAUUGAAGACCAACAUCCCCGGAGGACGAAGGGAAUUAUAACAGCCACAACCGAUUGCGUCUGUGGCUUGGGUCCUGCAAGCUGAUCCACGUGUUGAAAUGAACGGUCAGGAUGCCUAGUCGUGCAUAGAAUAGUCUUCGGUAAACGACGUCACUCUCUGCUUCGGCAUUUUCAAUUUUCAAUUUUCAAAGAAAGAGAACAUAACUUUGUGUCCAAGUAUCCGACUUUGUCUUCUAGUUCACUCUCAAACGUAUAAAAAGAUUAAAAACCCAAUGGUUUCUUCCAUUCCUUAACAGAACUACUGAAACUCGAACAACUUGAUUGAAUAUUAGAUAGAUGGCUAACCAAGCUCCCACACUUCCUCUCCUUACCCCCUACAAGUUGGGAAAGUUCGAUCUUUCUCACAGGUAGGCUUUGCUUAAAUCUUUGUCUCUCUGCAUUUUUACUAUGCCGCUUUGAAUUCAUCGUUGAAUUUCUUUUUUAAUUGCAAUUGAUAAAUAUGUGUCCUUCUUGAGCAUUUCAUUAUCUGUUUUAUGUUUGGUAAUGUUUCAUAUUUUGUUCGGCUUAGCUAGUUAUGCUAGCUCUUUCAAACUUGUCACCGGUCAUGUAGAUGUAAUCCCAUAGAUACUGUCUAUGUCUUGAAGAAAGUAUUGAUGGUUGUAUUGAUAAGUGUUUACUUUGUUUAUCCAUUCCAGAAUUGUUUUAGCACCAUUGACUAGAUCGAGAUCAUACGGAAAUGUUCCCCAGCCGCAUGCCAUCCUAUAUUACUCUCAGAGAACAUCCAAAGGGGGUCUUCUCAUAAGUGAAGCCACUGGAGUUUCAGACACAGCACAAGGGUAACUUAAUCAUAAAGAAUAGCUAUCAUGUUUCUUUCUGUAAAACUCUAAAUCACAAGAUGCAGUAGAAUUUGCAAUUUCCCCAUUUCAAAACUUGACACUUGUUGUUUCUUUUGUAUAUUAAGGUAUCCAGAUACUCCUGGUAUAUGGACCAAGGAGCAAGUUGAAGCAUGGAAACCCAUUGUCAAUGCUGUACAUGCUAAAGGGGGUAUCUUCAUCUGUCAGAUUUGGCAUGUCGGGAGGGUUUCAAAUAGUGGUGCGUCCCUGACUUAUACAUUUAUGACAUGACUUUAUCAUGGAAACCCAUGCGUGUAGUGACUUAUUAGACUAGUGAUACAUGAUUAUGUUUGAUUGGGUCCAGAGAACCUGCAUGCAUAGUAUCUGUAUUAUACCGAACGAUCUAAAACCUAUCCUUUUAUAAACAUCUUUUUCAGUAAUAUUAUUAUUUAUCAACGUUGCUUCUGCUAUGGGGUUGCUGUAUAUCAAUGAAUUUAAUAUUUCUUCAAUAUAAUCUGUUGUGUUCUCAUAGUGAUUCUAUCCCUCUUUGCUUAUAGGCUAUCAGCCGAAUGGGCAAGCUCCAGUCUCUUCUACUGACAAGCCCCUAACCCCCCAGAUACGAGGUAAUGGCAUUGACGUUGCGCAGUUCACACCUCCAAGACGAUUAAGGACAGAUGAAAUUCCUCAAAUUGUCAAUGAUUUUAGACUUGCUGCAAGGAAUGCAAUGGAAGCUGGUAAUAUUUGUUUAAGUUAAAUAUGAAAUAAAUUUACAUGUCCUUUUACUAAAACGUAUUAUAUCAAAGUGGGGUGCCAAUAAUAUCUUGUUUGAGGAUGAAAAAAAAAAUGUAGUGGAAAAUAUCAAUUUCUUACUUUUACUAUGUUAUUUGAUCAAUAAAAUAUCAUGGUCUCUUUGUUUCAAUUCAGUUAUUGGGUGAUGAAAUGUUUCAAAAAUAUUCAGUAACACCAAUGUUAUUGUUUGUUGAUAUCGAUUUUCAGGCUUUGAUGGGGUUGAAAUCCAUGGCGCCCAUGGCUACCUAAUCGAACAAUUUUUAAAAGAUGAAGUAAAU
rnacentral:lncRNA from 1 species